UGCCUCUCCCAUGGUUCUUUGUGACACUGACUGUGACUGUUUUCUCCAUGCACACUCUGUCUUUGGAUAAUGGGGUUGCUAUCCUGUUUUUCAUAUCAGGAUUCUCCUCUUCUGCUCGUGUGUUUAUGGAAAAUCAGCUCUCUACCGGGCUGUGUCUGGGGAAGUAGCUUUGGCCUCAGCCAAGCAGAGCCGAGUCACAGAGAGCAGUUCCAGGGCCAGGCGAAGUGAAUUCAAGCCCCUGGCUGGGGGAAGCGUUCGUUGGCCAUUUCUGGGAAAGAAUUCUUGAGGACCCCCACCCCACACGUUUCGAAAGGAGACAUAAUCAGCAAACGGCUCGAAAAGCAGCUAACUUAAGAGUAAAUAACGAUCAAGAGGUACCAUGGAAGAGACAAUGUCCUGUUGGCCAGCACAAUUAAAAUCAAUAUCACUGAGGCAGAAGACUCAGCGGCAGCUCGACUGUGUGUGGCUCCAACUCACAGAUGACUCAUGAAGAGAGAGGUGUAGUUCGGCCCAGAACCUCAGGUGUUGGCGUCUCUGUGGUGCAGAGGGAACGGCACAGCAGAGCAGCCCAAGUCAUGGUGGCCAGGCAGCAGAAAGCAGGAUGACUUCCUUUAUCACUGGGGUUUUGUUCUUGUCUGCUUUUCAUUCUGUGUGACUCCCAGGCUAUGGGCUGGCUCUGCUUACAGUGUGAAUAAGUGUUCCUUCUUGUUAAUUCUCUGGUAACUGCCCUGAAGUGUACUUGUGUCAAGGCUACCACACAGACCAUCAGCACUAACCCUCAUGAGAACAGCCACAGCCUGGCAGGGUGGUUGUGUUUGUGGAGGUGAUGGCAGUAGUGGUGUGUGAUUUCCUUACACACUGCUUGGUUCCCUAAUUCCUUAUCAGAAUCUCAUUUGUCUCCCUAAGUUCCCCUCAGUCACUUAGCUCGGCAUGCACACACCACAGCCUAAUGGGCGUGGUUUCAUCAGAGAGCAGUACAGGGGACAGCAGGCAACUGCAGGAAAGUGUGGUGACCUCAAAGCCCGGGGACACCUAUCAUCUAGUCGAUGUCUGUCUACGAUGCUCGGGACUCCCAACCUUGCUUGCAGACUUGGGUGGGUAAACGUUCUUGAACCAAUUCCAAAUGGGAGGGGGACUUUUUGAGAUGGGCUGAACACAUAAAUAAUCUUGAGGACAUUUGUUGAUGAUAUGGGGUCAACAUGAAAUUCUAAAUGGAGACUCUCACAGAAGAAUCCAGGAUGAUGAUGGCCGAUGAUCCCGUGGUCACCAUUGUGCUAAUGAGGGGCAGUGGAUCCUAAUGGUGGGGCCCACCUGCUGGCUUUUGUGUAGUCCUUUAUCUAGCAGCAUCUGGAGGAUGGGGUUGGAUGUCCCUGUCCAUUGGUCCUGCCCUAUGGUCCUGUCCGUCUAAGCCUCUGAGCCUCCUCUUCCACAGGGCCCUGGUGCAGCCAUGCAGGGACCCUUCAUGCCCAAGAACACAGACAAAUGUGGGAAAGCCCAGGAGCUAACUUCUUUGUCUUUAGGUCACACACACACACACACACACACACACACACAGGCCAAGGCAUUCAUAGGUGGAAGUUGCUAUGAGUUUGUGGUGACGCGCUCCUGAAUAGGAAGCCGAGGACCUCGGAGCAAAUGAA
rnacentral:lncRNA from 1 species